UCCACACAUAAAACUGUAAUAUUUCACCUGAGAAAGAAAAUACUUUACCGUCUUUGAGGUUGUGGCUGAUGUGUUUUGUUUUUCAGGACUGCACGAACCCGAGAUACCUGGCAGCAGGCACAUCAAAUGCAGUGAAGCUAAGCAGGUUCUUUGAUAAGGUUAUAGAAAAGAGAUAUUUCACAAGGGAUCCAAGUCAGAUGACAGGUUUCACUGACAGAAAACGGUUCAACUUCAAGAGUGUGCACUAUGACUGAUGAUGCAUGAAUGCUACAGCGAUGGUUUGGGGUUUUAUCAUAGAGUGUUUAGGCUUUUUUUUUUUUUCUCUUUACCACAACCACCACACUCACUGAAAUACUUUCUAUAUCUGUUCUGCCUCUACCCACAAUCUGUACACUGUCAUUUCUCCUUAAUCCAUUCAGUCUAAACACAUGUACAGUUUGCAUUAAAGAAGGACUUUAAGAGUAAAA